UCGUAACAAGGUUUCCGUAGGUGAACCUGCGGAAGGAUCAUUACCGAGUGUAGGGUUCCUAGCGAGCCCAACCUCCCACCCGUGUUUACUGUACCUUAGUUGCUUCGGCGGGCCCGCCGUCAUGGCCGCCGGGGGCGUUCAGCCCCGGGCCCGCGCCCGCCGGAGACACCACGAACUCUGUCUGAUCUAGUGAAGUCUGAGUUGAUUGUAUCGCAAUCAGUUAAAACUUUCAACAAUGGAUCUCUUGGUUCCGGCAUCGAUGAAGAACGCAGCGAAAUGCGAUAACUAGUGUGAAUUGCAGAAUUCCGUGAAUCAUCGAGUCUUUGAACGCACAUUGCGCCCCCUGGUAUUCCGGGGGGCAUGCCUGUCCGAGCGUCAUUGCUGCCCAUCAAGCACGGCUUGUGUGUUGGGUCGUCGUCCCCUCUCCGGGGGGGACGGGCCCCAAAGGCAGCGGCGGCACCGCGUCCGAUCCUCGAGCGUAUGGGGCUUUGUCACCCGCUCUGUAGGCCCGGCCGGCGCUUGCCGAACGCAAAACAAUCUUUCCAGGUUGACCUCGGAUCAGGUAGGGAUACCCGCUGAACUUAAGCAUAUCAAUAA
rnacentral:misc_RNA from 1 species